rnacentral:rRNA from 1 species
AACGAACGCUGGCGGCAUGCCUAACACGUGCAAGUCGAACGAGACCUUCGGGUCUAGUGGCGCACGGGUGCGUAACGCGUGGGAACCUGCCCUUAGGUUUGGAAUAACUCCCCGAAAGGGGUGCUAAUACCGGAUAAUGUCUUCGGACCAAAGAUUUAUCGCCUUUGGAUGGGCCCGCGUUGGAUUAGCUAGUUGGUAGGGUAAAAGCCUACCAAGGCGACGAUCCAUAGCUGGUCUGAGAGGAUGAUCAGCCACACUGGGACUGAGACACGGCCCAGACUCCUACGGGAGGCAGCAGUGGGGAAUAUUGGACAAUGGGCGAAAGCCUGAUCCAGCAAUGCCGCGUGAGUGAUGAAGGCCUUAGGGUUGUAAAGCUCUUUUACCCGGGAUGAUAAUGACAGUACCGGGAGAAUAAGCUCCGGCUAACUCCGUG